GACCAUGUGGCCUAAUAGAUAAGGUGUCUGACUUCGGAUCAGAAGACUGAGGGUUUGAGUCCUUUCAUGGUCA